rnacentral:lncRNA from 1 species
GCCGUGGACAACACGUGAAAGAGUGAGGGCUGCUGUGCGCCCGUGAAACGCCACAAACACAGGCACCGAGACGCAGCUGGCCGGCUCCUGCUCCAGACGCACCUGCAGCCACACAGCCUUAGGGCUCCUCGGCUGUCCUGG